UCAUGGUCAGUGGAUAUCUUGAAGCUUCAAAGGCUAGAAGAGAUUAAGAGCUCAUGAGAACAGACCCAGUAAAAAAGACGAUGGGAAGAGAGUGUUGUUGUUUUGUAUGGUCUUUAUUUCUUUGGCAUAUGUGUGAGUCAACCAUAACCUUUGAAGAGUGCCUGGGACAUAAUGAUUGCUUCAGAAUAGAUGUAUAAAUGAAUGAGUAGUUAAACCAAAGUCAAACAGCUGGUAUCAGGAGAAGAAUUAGGGAAGGAAGACAAGUUAGAAAAUGAGAACAAAGGAAACACCUGUGGAUACUGAAAACAAAACAAUGAAAGAACAAGACCUCUGAUAGAUUUCAUGGACUUCUUGGAGGACCAACAUCAGUCAAUGGAAGUGUGAUGACUUAUCAGAGCUUCCUUGGUUGCAGUACAGAAGAUGCAAUGCCAGCAGUGCUUUUUCAGGAGCUCCCUCUGAAGAAGAUCAUGGCUCAGUUACCAUGGACACCAAGAAGCUAUGCAGCUUUUUAUUCUUUUUACUUCCUUCAUUAUGUGCCCUCCCAGGAAAUAUAUUUUCAUUAGUAACUAGGUUUUGAAACUUUUGCCAAGACACCAGCCUAACCUAUUGCUCUC
rnacentral:lncRNA from 1 species